rnacentral:rRNA from 1 species
ACACAUGCAAGUCGAGGGGCAGCAUGGUCUUAGCUUGCUAAGGCCGAUGGCGACCGGCGCACGGGUGAGUAACACGUAUCCAACCUGCCGUCUACUCUUGGACAGCCUUCUGAAAGGAAGAUUAAUACAAGAUGGCAUCAUGAGUCCGCAUGUUCACAUGAUUAAAGGUAUUCCGGUAGACGAUGGGGAUGCGUUCCAUUAGAUAGUAGGCGGGGUAACGGCCCACCUAGUCUUCGAUGGAUAGGGGUUCUGAGAGGAAGGUCCCCCACAUUGGAACUGAGACACGGUCCAAACUCCUACGGGAGGCAGCAGUGAGGAAUAUUGGUCAAUGGGCGAGAGCCUGAACCAGCCAAGUAGCGUGAAGGAUGACUGCCCUAUGGGUUGUAAACUUCUUUUAUAAAGGAAUAAAGUCGGGUAUGGAUACCCGUUUGCAUGUACUUUAUGAAUAAGGAUCGGCUAACUCCGUGCCAGCAGCCGCGGUAAUACGGAGGAUCCGAGCGUUAUCCGGAUUUAUUGGGUUUAAAGGGAGCGUAGAUGGAUGUUUAAGUCAGUUGUGAAAGUUUGCGGCUCAACCGUAAAAUUGCAGUUGAUACUGGAUAUCUUGAGUGCAGUUGAGGCAGGCGGAAUUCGUGGUGUAGCGGUGAAAUGCUUAGAUAUCACGAAGAACUCCGAUUGCGAAGGCAGCCUGCUAAGCUGCAACUGACAUUGAGGCUCGAAAGUGUGGGUAUCAAACAGGAUUAGAUACCCUGGUAGUCCACACGGUAAACGAUGAAUACUCGCUGUAGGCGAUAUACGGUCUGCGGCCAAGCGAAAGCAUUAAGUAUUCCACCUGGGGAGUACGCCGGCAACGG